rnacentral:lncRNA from 1 species
UUUACAUUGUUUUUCAGAUACUGAUUUUAUUAAUUUCGCUUCAAUAAUAUGAAAACAGAAAGAAACAUAAUUCCAACUAGGCAAGAAUUUGAGCUAUGGCAGUAGAAACAUCACAGUUACAGCAGGAUUUGUAUCACACUGAACUGAUUUCUGCUUUAAUAUUAAAAAGGUGCUUUCACUUUAGUGCAGUAAAAAAACACAAAAGGAAGGAAAAAUAUUAUUUCCAAGCAAAGUUUACUGUGGGGAUAGUUUUUGGUCUUUUGUUUUGUGGCUAUUAACAUCACAAGACAGUCACCAGAUUAUAAUAGCUGAUCAGAUAAAAACUAACGACUAACAGAAGCAGUGUUUGAUGUUACAAGGCUUGAGGGAGAAGAGUAUUUGCACCACCUGGAUUAAGAUAUCUGAUACGUAAAUGAAGAGGCUUUUCUAUGUUCCUCCUGCAGUUGGAUGGGUAAUCUUCCUAUUUAAAUCAUAUAUCUGCUUCUGACUUCGGCAUCUCUUUUUCUCUGCUGACCACUGAGGGACCUUGAAGAGAUUUGCUGUUAAUUUAGGCAUCUGAAUCAGGUGCCUAAUGUUAAUUAGCGUGGAAUCCCCUCUUGUGUCCUCACGUUGCCUGGAGGUUAGUUGAACUUCCAGAUUUCCAUGAGCAAGGCCUUACCUGCAUGAGUGGUGCCCCGUGAAGUAAAUGGGGAAAAAAGCAGGAGGACAAUUCACUUAUAUAAAGUGUUCACCUGCACUUCCUUACAGUUUGAAGCAAGAAGUUCUCCCUCUUCCUCUUUGCUAACAUCAUGCUAACAAUGAAACACGCUGGUGUCCUCCUCUGGAAUGAUGUUUGCUAACCAGAACACCACUUUCUUUUACAGUAAUGGCAUAAAUACAUGGCCAUAGGACACCAGUUGACUAAUGGUCUCGAGUCUUCAAUCAGCAUGCAGUUCUAGCUGUGGCUCCAGUAGGCCAUGAGCACUCUUCUCCAGGCACACUUGUCUGCAGUUGGCUGCUUUUGCAGUUCCAAGGCUACUGUCUGCCUAAAGAUGUAUCCCAAGCAUCACAC